rnacentral:rRNA from 1 species
GACGAACGCUGGCGGCGUGCUUAACACAUGCAAGUCGAACGGUAAGGCCCUUCGGGGUACACGAGUGGCGAACGGGUGAGUAACACGUGGGUGAUCUGCCCUGCACUUCGGGAUAAGCCUGGGAAACUGGGUCUAAUACCGGAUAGGACCACUGCCUGCAUGGGUGGUGGUGGAAAGCUUUUGCGGUGUGGGAUGGGCCCGCGGCCUAUCAGCUUGUUGGUGGGGUGAUGGGCUACCAAGGCGACGACGGGUAGCCGGCCUGAGAGGGUGACCGGCCACACUGGGACUGAGAUACGGCCCAGACUCGUACGGGAGGCAGCAGUGGGGAAUAUUGCACAAUGGGCGCAAGCCUGAUGCAGCGACGCCGCGUGAGGGAUGACGGCCUUCGGGUUGUAAACCUCUUUCAGCACCGACGAAGCGCAAGUGACGGUAGGUGCAGAAGAAGGACCGGCCAACUACGUGCCAGCCGCCGCGGUAA